rfam:Ovis aries breed Texel chromosome 10, whole genome shotgun sequence.
CCUGGUGGCUCAGAGGUUAAAGCGUCUGCCUGCAAUGCAAGAGACCUGGGUUCGAUCCCUGGGUCAGGA